GGGACGGACAGGCCACACAUGGCAGGGGCAGCUAGACCAGCCGUGGCAGGUGGUCAGAACCUCGGCAAACUUCGUCUUUUCGUGUAUCGUGUUUGAGUCUACCGACUGGAUUUGAAGGGAUAAGUGAGCAGCCCACGGAAGGGAAAAAUUGCAACCCUAGCUCUUCAGGCUCCUCCACAACGAGCCGCCUGUGCGCCUCACCUGGGACCAGGCCGCCGCCACCACCCACUGACCCGCCAUUGCCGGCGGUGGUGGCCAGGAGCAUUCUGCUCCUCUUCCUCUGCUGGAUCCGCCCCUCUGCUGCUGUGUUCCUCCUGGAUCCGUCAGUGAUGGCAAGCAAGCACUCCUCUCAUGUUGUAGCAAGUGUGAACAAUGAAGAACAAAUAUGAUGAUUUGAAACGUUUGUGGGGGAGAGCUUCAAAGGCGCCGAACAUAAGUUUGACAUCAACACUGACAUCGGUAUCUAUCGACGUUGAAACCCAAGUUCAGGAUCAAAAUAAGAGCAUCCACCUUCCAACGAGCUACAGUUGGCACUUGUAUAGCCAGGGCGUAUAUUUGAUGAGGACCAUACAGAAGCAUCCUUUUUGUCUAGUAUCACGGAAGAUGGUGGCAUACUUGACACUGAACAUCUUUCGUUCACACCAGAAUUUGGCUCCAAUGGAACUCCAGCAGGCUCUUCAAGCUCUAGGACAGGGUCUAUCUUACCUGCCAUCAAAUUUGAAAAUACUGGAUAUGAGGGAUUAAUAACAGGGAGCAGUAGUGAAGAGUGAUCUUCAGAGCUGCAACGAAAAGACAAUGGGGUGAUGGGUGCCGGGGGCAGGCACUGGCGAUCGAUGGAAGGCGAUGUGGAGGCCGGCGGCAGGAGCGGACUAAGCCGAGGUACUGCGUGUAAGAGGACAUGCUAUUCCGGGCUUCCCCGGCAGCAUGAUUCAUGAUAGGGUAGGACCUGGUUGUGGCCUUCUUCCGCGAUUCUUAGGCUCUGUCAGCCCCAACCUCCGUUACGCCAUUGACGAUAGUUACGGCCACGAUCCCUCCGCCGUUGACGUCACAUGGCACCUCAAAACGCAAAUUAUCAGCUCCGCGGAAGCUGUCGACUGCCGGAUCGGUGCAGCCUGAUGUGUGAAGCGAGAAUGUUUGGAUCUAGUGGUAGAAGUCCUUUGAACGUGGACAAAUCAAUACCAACAUUGAUAUGGUUCUUACAAUCUUUGUGUACAAUGUUUUUUCGAGGAGCAAGUAGGUGGAGCACAUAAGUGAGAGAAGAGGAGGGCGCGAGGAGCGACAUGGGGACGUGUGGCUGGGGCGUUUCUCUUGCACUAGGGUUGGGAAGCGAUUUUGGAAUAAGUAAUUUUAUAGGGGGGUAGAAGGAGAGUUUGUGCGAGGGUGAGGUGCGUCGGUGGUACUGGUUGAACCCAUGGAAGUUCUUAGCUCAUAACUGCUAUGAAAUCUACACAAAAGUUUGUGAUUUUGUUAACCUGACUAGAGCUUGAUGACCUGCUCGGUGGGCAUCGGAGGGAGAGGUCGGCGAGCAGGAGCGGUGCGUUUGGGGGGAGGCGGAGGAAGGCGGGGAGGAACGGGCGGGCUUUGCCGCGGCGGCGGGCGGAUGAUGCGGGGUUCGCUUUUCAGCAGUUUGAGCAAACGUGCGCUCGGGUUGGGGUCGGACCGUCCGAAAAGAAUGUGCACGAAGAAAAUGCGAAAAAAAAUCCAACCCUCCUGCUGGGACGUCUCUCUUUUCCUUGUCUCCCGCUCCACCACCGAGAGGUCAUCGAGGAGCCGGCAUCGAUAUCCGAGAUGAGUCGCCCUUGGCCGCCGCCGAGAACCCGUGCCUCUCUACAGAUUCCUCUCGCUCUCCUCUUCGCCCAUCCAACUAGAUCGAAAUUUGAAACUCGUCGCCCCUCUAUCUCUGUCGGUGCUCGACGGAAGAUGAGGAUGGCUCCCCGCGGUGAUUCCCCAUGGUCCUCAGCGGCUCCUCCCGGCGAUUCCCCAUGGUCCUCGGCGGCGGCGACGGCUAGGUCAGUCCUCUUUCUCUGGCUCACCCAAUUUUCCCGGCCCGGUGAGCUAGGGUUAGGGUUACCAGCUCGCCGCCGCUGCUCCGUCAUGUUGCAGGUGUUGCUAUUACCCGCCGCCGGCCUCGUGUGCUCAUGGCCGACUCGUACUGAUGUUGUUGUUCUUGGCUAGCCCCCCUGUGUGUUCGUGCUGCUGCUGCUUACUGUGCUCCUAUGGCGUGCUUGUGCAGCUCCAACGAAAAGACAUUGGGGUGAUGGGUGCCGGGGGCUGGCACGGGCGAUCAAUGGAAGGCGAUUUGAGGCCGGCGGUAGGAGUGGACUAAGCCGAUGUACUGCGUGUAAGAGGACAUGCUAUUCCGGGAUUCCCCGGCAGCGCGAUUCAUGAUAGGGUAGGACCUGGUUGUGGCCUUCUUCUGCGAUUCUUGGACUCUGUCAGCCCCAACCUCCGUUUCGCCAUUGACGAUAGUUACGGCCACAACCCCUCCGCCGUUGACGUCACAUGGCACCUCAAAACGCAAAUUAUCAGCUCCACGGAAGCUGUCGGCUGCCGGAUCAGUGCAGCCUGAUGUGUGAAGCGAGAAUGUUUGGAUCUGGUGGAAGAAGUCCUUUGAACGUGGACAAAUCAAUACCAACAUUGAUGUGGUUCUUACAAUCUUUGUCUACAAUGUUUUUUUGAGGAGCAAGUAGGUGGAGCACAUGAGUGACGUGAUAGUCCAAACUCUUACUGGACUAACUCUUAGCAUCUCAUAAUGCGAUGUCUAUGGGAGAUGGAGCACGCCGCCUCGUCGAUGCAUGAGCCGAUGCGGUCUAAAUCAAGUUGUGCGUGUCUUGGUGAGAAUUGUUGGUCCGGUUUGACCAUAUUUUUGGACUGCAUUUUGUGGUUGCGAAGGAAAUUGUGUGCGGUGUACGAUCUACACUGUAUGUGGAUUGCAAUAGCUGGAUUGAUGGUAAGGUUUGAUCAAUGAACAUCAACAUAAUUUACAGUUUGAUUUAGCACUAUGCAUCUUCUUGCACUGAUUUAGGCCAGGGCCUAGAAAGAAAAAGGGAAUUAAGUCAAGUUCAUAAAUUUGUAAAUGUAAUUAUUAAGUCUCAUGGUCAAAUUGCCAAUGCAGUAAGGUAUUGACGCUUAUUCCAUCACUCAUGCUAAUUAUAAACCAAUUGCUUUUAAUUCUUGUGGAAUACAUACUGAACAUAGAUAUAAUUGAAAACAUGUCACCUGUUUUAGUAAAUAAGCACAAGAUGAAGCUUAUAGAGCAAUCAUCUGACAGACAUCCGACUCUUGUAGAAUAUCUAAUAGACUCAUCCACCUGCUAAAACAGAUCCACAAUUUGGAGUAUCUCAUUCAUUGCUAGCAUAAGAGAGCCAAGUGUUGUUGUCUUGUUACAUUCUUUGCAAAAUUCUACAUCAUGUUCUAAUGUUAGUAUUUUUUCUGUUACUAAUUUUAUAGGGGUAGAAGGAUUCUUCUCGCUUGCCUUCUGCUUUAUCUCUUAUUACGUGACAACUUUAGCUUUGAUUUUCAUCUCUUUGGAGUUCCCUAAAGAAUCACUUUGGGUAAUGCUUAUUUCCCCCAAAACUCUAAAUUGUACCAAUGAAAAGUAAUUACUUUGAGCAAAGAAGAGGAGGGUGUGAGGAGCGACAUGGGGAUGUGUGUCUGGGGCGUUUCUCUUGCACUAGGGUUGGGAAGCGAUUUUGGAAUAAGUAGUAAGUAAGCUAUUUCUUCUGAAUCUUGUAAGUUUCUGCAUUUUCAUGUUCUAAUGUUCGUAUUUGUUCUUUUACAGAUUUUAUACGGGGGUAGAAGGAGAGUUUGUGCGAGGGUGAGGUGCGUCGGUGGUACUGGUUGAACCCAUGGAAGUUCUUAGCUCAUAAUUGCUAUGAAAUCUACACAAUAGUUUGCGAUUUUGUUAACCUGACUAGAGCUUGAUGACCUGCUUGGUGGGCAUCGGAGGGAGAGGUCGGCGAGCAGGAGCGGUGCGUUUGGGCGGAGGCGGAGGAAGGCGGGGAAGAAUGGGCGGGCUUCGCUGCGGCGGCGGGCGGAUGAUGCGGGGAUCGCUUUUCAGCAGUUCGAGCAGACGUGCGCUCGGGUUGGGGUCGGACUGUCGGACAAGAAUGUGCAUGAAAAAAUGUGAAAAAAAUCCACCCCUCCUGCUGCGACCUCUCUAUUUUCCUCGUCUCCCGCUCCACCGCCGAGAGGUCAUCGAGGAGCCGACAUCGAUAUCCGAGAUGAGUCGCCCUUGCCGCCGCCGAGAACCCGUGCCUCUCUACAGAUCCCUCUCAUUCUCCUCUUCGCCCAUGCAACUAGGUCGAAAUUUGAAACUCGUCGCCCCUCUAUCUUUGCCGGUGCUCGACGGAAGAUGAGGACGGCUCCUCGCGACGAUUCCCCAUGGUCCUCAGCGGCUCCUUCCGGCGAUUCCCUGUGGUCCUCGGCGGCGGCAACGGCUAGCUGCAACGAAAAGACAUUGGGGUGAUGGGUGCCGGGGGAGGUCACUGGCGAUCGACGGAAGGCGAUGUGGAGGCCGGCGGCAGGAGCGGACUAAGCCGAGGUACUGCACGUAAGAGGACAUGCUAUUCCGGGCUUCCCCGGCAACGCGAUUCAUGAUCGGGUAGGACCUGGUUGUGGCCUUCUUCCGCGAUUCUUGGGCUCUGUCAGCCCCAACCUCUGUUUCGCCAUUGACGACAGUUACGGCCACAACCCCUCCGCCGUUGAUGUCACAUGGCACCUCAAAACACAAAUUAUCAGCUCCGCGGAAGCUGCCGGCUGCCGGAUCAGGUACGUGAACAAGUGCGUCCAUCCAUCUUGCGAGUUAAUUCGCAUAAGUAAAUGCCCAAUUUAUUCCAGUUACUUUGCAAAUUCUGUAGUGCAGCCUGAUGUGUGAAGCGAGAAUGUUUGGAUCUGGUGGUAGAAGUCCUUUGAACGUGGACAAAUCAAUACCAACAUUGAUGUGGUUCUUACAAUCUUUGUGUACAAUGUUUUUUUGAGGAGCAAGUAGGUGGAGCACAUGAGUGACGUGAUAGUCCAAACUCUGACUGGACUAACUCUUAGCAUCUCAUAAUGUGAUGUCUAUGGGAGAUGGAGCACGCCGCCACCUCGAUGCAUGAGCCGGUGCGGUCUAAAUCAAGUUGUGUGUGUCUUGGUGAGAAUUGUUGGUCUGGUUUGACCAUAUUUUUGGACUGCAUUUUGUGGUUGCGAAGGAAAUUGUGUGCGGUGUACGAUCUACACUGUAUGUGGAUUGCAAUAGCUGGAUUGAUGGUAAGGUUUGAUCAAUGAACAUCAACAUAAUUUACAGUUUGAUUUAGGACUAUGCAUCUUCUUGCACUGAUUUAGGGUCAGGGCCUAGAAAGAAAAAGGGAAUUAAGUACAGUUCAUAAAUCUGUAAAUGUAAUUAUUAAGUCGUUGCCCUGAAAUUUUUCAUGGUCAAAUUGCCAAUGCAGUAAGGUAUUGACGCUUAUUCCAUCAGUCAUGCUAAUUAUAAACCAAUUGCUUUUAAUUCUUGUGGAACACAUACUGAACAUAGAUAUAAUUGAAAACAAGUCACCUGUUUUAGUAAAUAAGCACAAGAUGAAGCUUAUAGAGCAAUCAUCUGACGGACAUCCGACUCUUGUAGAAUAUCUAAUAGACUCAUCCACCUGCUGAAAACAUAUCCACAAUUUGGAGUAUCUCAUUCAUUGCUAGCAUAAGAAAGCCAUGUGUUGUUGUCUUGUUUCAUUCUUUGCAAAAUUCUAUAUCAUGUUCUAAUGUUAGUAUUUUUUCUUUUACUAAUUUUAUAGGGGGUAGAAGGAUUCUUCUCGCUUGCCUUCUGCUUUAUCUCUUAUUACGUGACAACUUUAGCUUUGAUUUUCAUCUCUUUGGAGUUCCCUAAAGAAUCACCUUGGGUAAUGCUUAUUUCCCCCCAAACUCUAAAUUGUACCAAUGAAAAGUAAUUACUUUGAGCAAAGAAGAGGAGGGCGCGAGGAGCGACAUGGGGACGUGUGGCUGGGGCGUUUCUCUUGCACUAGGGUUGGGAAGCGAUUUUGGAAUAGAUUUUAUAGGGGUGUAGAAGGAGAGUUUGUGCGAGGGUGAGGUGCGUUGGUGGUACUGGUUGAACCCAUGGAAGUUCUUAGCUCAUAAUUGCUAUGAAAUCUACACAAAAGUUUGUGAUUUUGUUAACCUGCUAGAGCUUGAUGUUCAUGUCAGUCCUUUAUUUAGAUGUUAACCUGCCAUUCCUUUCUAGACGAUGACUUGAUGUUCUUCUACUAAGGUGGUGCGUCUAAGGUUUCUCUACUUGCUCACUGACCAUUCAGUUCAACGACGGCCCAUGCGGUAGAAUCGAGGCUGCAACUCUCACACUUCAAAGAGGAAAGGAAAACAUGAAUACUUCUUUGUGACUGUUACAUUGAGAUUGCAAUCUUACAAGGAGUGGCUUAAUUAAACCUGCUAAUAUUGUGAUUGUUACAUUGAGAUUGCCAAUCUUACAAGGACUAUUAUUGAUUGUUCAAUGACUCGUUUGUUAAUUUUGAUUUUAAUUAUACUGUUGAACAACUUAGAGAUGUCAUAAUAUAAUUAUAGCAAAUAUAUUAUGGUAUAUUUCCUACAGAGAUCAAGCAGAGCUGAUAUACCGCAUUUAGAUAACUCUGUGCAACAGUGUGGAACUAUCUCAAGUACAUUUUUUCUCUUAUAAAACCAAUGAGAGUGAGUCCAUUAUGUUUUGUUCUGUGAUACAAAAGGUUGUAGACAACUUCACAAGAAAAAUCAUUGCAGCUUGGUCUUGAUGAUUACAGUUUCAAUUCGUUAUACCAGUCUAGCACACGUGUUUCAUAGACUUACUGAAAUAUCUAUUCUUGAACCUUACAGAAGUGGGCUCCCUCUAAGAAAAAUAGUAUAUGAAUGGAUUAUUUAGAAAGAAAGAUACAGUUGCAUGCAAGAAAUGGUUGGAAGUGAUUAGUAUCUUCUAGAAGGGAGAUUAGUUUGUUGAUGGUACAGAAUGGGGUAAUUUUUUGUGAUUGAUUGCUUUAUUGCUACCGAAUAUUUGCGACGUUGGCAUGUUUGGCACUUGUUAUUGUAAGUUCUUAUUUCUUCUGGCUUGCCUUCUACUUUAUCUCUUAAUAAAUGACAACUUUAGCUUUGAUUUCGUCUCUUUGUAGUUACCUAGAGAAUUACUUUGAGUAAUGCUUAUUUACCCCUAAAACUCUAAAUUGUGCCAACGAAAAGUAAGUACUUUGAGCAGAGAAGAGGAGGGCAGCAAGGAGCGAACAUGGGGACGGGUGGCUGGGGCGCUUCUCUUGCACGAGGAUCAGGAAGCUGGAGUAAUCCAAGACUGGAAAUGACCCUCUUGCUCUUAGGAAUGAUACUAUAUUUUUCAGUCAUUUACUUUUUCCACUCGAUCAAGGUUCGCUGUUACUCCAGGUAAGAACUAUGAAUUUCCAAUAGGUUGUAAGUAAGCUAUUUCUUAUGAAUCUUGUAAUUUUUUGUAUUUUGGAGUUCAAGAGCCCCUGGUUUGCUCUGGCCUCGAUCCAAACAUGUUGUCAGACUUUUAGCCCAUGGGCUUGGUAAAUUGAGAUCAAGAUCGAGAGA